rnacentral:rRNA from 1 species
CCUACGGGUGGCAGCAGUGAGGAAUAUUGGUCAAUGGGCGCGAGCCUGAACCAGCCAAGUAGCGUGAAGGAUGACUGUCCUACGGGUUGUAAACCUCUUUUAUCAAGGAAUAAAGUGAGGCACGCGUGCCUUUUUGUAUGUACUUUAUGAAUAAGCAUCGGCUAACUCCGUGCCAGCAGCCGCGGUAAUACGGAGGAUCCGAGCGUUAUCCGGAUUUAUUGGGUUUAAAGGGUGCGGAGAUGGGUUGUUAAGUCAGUUGUGAAAGUUUGGGGCUCAACCCUAACAUUGCCAUUGAUACUGGCAGCCUUGAGUACGUUAGAGGUAGGCGGAAUUCGUGGUGUAGCGGUGAAAUGCUUAGAUAUCACGAAGAACUCCGAUUGCGAAGGCAGCAUACUAAACUGCCACUGACAUUGAUGCUCGAAAGUGUGGGUAUCGAACAGGAUUAGAUACCCCUGUAGUC